UGGGGAAUAUUGGACAAUGGGGGGAACCCUGAUCCAGCCAUGCCGCGUGUGUGAAGAAGGCCUUAUGGUUGUAAAGCACUUUAAGCGAGGAGGAGGGUACUGGUAUUAAUACUACCAGGUACUGGACGUUACUCGCAGAAUAAGCACCGGCUAACUCUGUGCCAGCAGCCGCGGUAAUACAGAGGGUGCGAGCGUUAAUCGGAUUUACUGGGCGUAAAGCGUGCGUAGGCGGCUAAUUGAGUCGGAUGUGAAAUCCCCGAGCUUAACUUGGGAAUUGCAUUCGAUACUGGUUAGCUAGAGUGUAGGAGAGGAUGGUAGAAUUCCAGGUGUAGCGGUGAAAUGCGUAGAGAUCUGGAGGAAUACCGAUGGCGAAGGCAGCCAUCUGGCCUAACACUGACGCUGAGGUACGAAAGCAUGGGGAGCAAACAGG
rnacentral:rRNA from 1 species